AACGAACGCUGGCGGCAUGCCUAACACAUGCAAGUCGAACGAGAUCUUCGGGUCUAGUGGCGCACGGGUGCGUAACGCGUGGGAAUCUGCCCUUUGGUUCGGAAUAACAGUUGGAAACGACUGCUAAUACCGGAUGAUGACGAAAGUCCAAAGAUUUAUCGCCAGAGGAUGAGCCCGCGUAGGAUUAGCUAGUUGGUGUGGUAAAGGCGCACCAAGGCGACGAUCCUUAGCUGGUCUGAGAGGAUGAUCAGCCACACUGGGACUGAGACACGGGCCAGACUCCUACGGGAGGCAGCAGUGGGGAAUAUUGGACAAUGGGCGAAAGCCUGAUCCAGCAAUGCCGCGUGAGUGAUGAAGGCCUUAGGGUUGUAAAGCUCUUUCACCCGGGAUGAUAAUGACAGUACCGGGAGAAUAAGCUCCGGCUAACUCCGUGCCAGCCGCCGCGGUAAGAC
rnacentral:rRNA from 1 species